CCGGAUAGGAUUUUAUGGGCCCUUGACAGUAAAGGGAAAUUUACGACUAAAUACUUAUAUGAAUGGUUGGAACGGAAUCUAUCAGGUCCUAACUAUACGAUGGUGUGGAAAGCACCCAUCCCGUUGAUGAAUAAAAUUUUCCUUUGGCAGUUGUUUCAGAAUGCAGUUCUUACUCGUGAUAACAUGCGUAUCAGGAAUUGGCCUGGAAAUCCCAUGUGCUCCUUCUGUACUGAUGUUGAAACGGCAAAUCAUUUGUUCUUUACCUGCCCACUUGCUCGUUCGGUGUGGGGAGUGUUGGGCAUGACGGUUGGGGCAUCCUGCUGUCCUCGUUCUCUUUGGCAAAGCUUCGCUUGGCUUUAUAAGUUUUUUCCGGGUGGAAAGCAUUUUUAUAUGAUGAUCAUUAUUGCAAUAUGCUGGGGGGUUUGGACUCUCCGCAAUAAAGUUACAUUUGAUAAACAUGUUGUUCGUUCUCCUCUGGAGGCUGUUUUCACUGCCUGCUCGUUUAUGUUGUAUUGGGCAGGUUUGCUGAAGGAACAAGAGAAGGUGAAGCUACAGGCUGGAGUGAAGAGGUUGGCUCACGCGGCUGCUGCGCUGGCGGACAGAUCACUUCCUCGAGGCAGACCUCUCUUAGGAGACAGAGAUGGGAUCCAGAUUGGUUAG
rnacentral:rRNA from 1 species